rnacentral:rRNA from 1 species
UACGAGGGGUGCAAGCGUUGCUCGGAAUCAUUGGGCGUAAAGGGUAGGUAGGUGGUCUCAUUUGUCUGGGGUGAAAGCCUUGAGCUUAACUCAAGAAGUGCCUCGGAAACGGUGAGACUGGAGUCCUGGAGAGGGUCGUGGAAUUCCCGGUGUAGCGGUGAAAUGCGUAGAGAUCGGGAGGAACACCAGAGGCGAAAGCGGCGACCUGGACAGGUACUGACACUCAACUACGAAAGCGUGGGGAGCAAACAGG